UCAGAAGCCAUAUCAGAAAUCAUAUCAGAACUAUUUACCAACAAUAACAAUAAAAACAUUAUCUCACUAAAUAAGAUAACAUGGCUGUUAUUGUUGCCUAUUUAAAACUGGUUAAUUCAUCAAUACAUUAUACUUGAAGAAAACAAACUAGUUAAUUGGUCGAUACAUUCUAUUUGAAGAAAACACAGCUAGGUGAAUUUAACUUCAUCUAUUUGGGGUCAACUGUGAAUAAAUAGUAAGCAACAAAUAAGAUAUGUCCAAAGAGGGAAUUGUGAAAGCCAAAACCCAGGCUUAUAUGUUGCUGAGUAUCAACAUUCUUGAAGCAUGUUGAUCUUUUGCUUAACAAUUUUAUGAACAUAAGAUCUCCUCCAAUACUUUAUCAGUCUCUUAGUGAAGUAUCAACAGGAUACCAUUUUGUUAAACUUUGCUAUACCAUGUUCACCAAGAUUGACUCAUAAGUACUUUUUACAACCCUUAUGGUAAUUUGUAGUAAAAAAUAUAUCAUAAUGUGCAUGCAGAAUAGUCUCUAUUGAAAUUCAUAUUUUUGAUAGUUUUUUGUUCUUCAAAGUGUGUGCAUACGGGUUUUUGUGACAUUGUUUUGUUAGCAUCACUAAUUCCUUAAGGUGUAAUUCUAGCAGACUUACCUAGGUAUGUCAGUAAUGAGCUAGCCUAAUUGAUUAAACCAUUCUUAUUUUGUAACUGAUUUGGUAAAAGUACCUGUUUUACCAGGAAGAACACACGAUAAAAUAAUAACAAACGGAUACCACUCUAUAUUUCCUAUUUCAUAAUUCACUUUAGAGUAUUUGUAUUAGCUGCGUGUUUGUUUAAGACCAAAUUAGCCAUUAUAGCUUCACAUAUUUUGGACUGUUUAAUGCAGAUUUUGUGAUAGAUGCAGUUUUUGGACACUAAUCCAAAAACAUCUUUUUACCAUACAUUUUGAAUUAGUUUCACAAUAAAUGAUGUCUUUUUUCCUCAAAAUAUUUAAAUGAGUUUAUAAUCCCACAUAUUUAAAUGAACAACAGUUGGAAGUAAGUCAAAACUAUUUGGAUAAAAAUGAUUUUGACAUUUUUGUGUCCUUGUUUAUUGUAUUCUGCUUUUCCAUAAUCAUGUAAAAACGACUCAAAGUCCCACAUGGAAAUAUUCUGUAUAUGAGUAAAGAGCAUUAGCUAUAAAAGAAAUACUUGUGGCAUNGAGAAACAUACUUACCUGGAUGGGGUCAAUGAGUGAUCANAAAGGCUCAUGGNCUAGAACUGUGACCUUCAUUGCACAANGAAGGGGUGCUGUUCUAAGGUNUGNCCUAGUGGCAGAGCCUACAUCAUAAUCUGUGGCAGAGGGGGCUUGUGUUCGCGCAGCCCCUACUAUGUAAAGUUUAACACUUUUUCUAUUAAGUCGAACUUCAUUGUUCCUUUAGAUGGGCCUACGGAGAAUGUUAUGUUCUAAAAUGAUUCCAACCUCGGAAUUUUUGUGAUGCAAUUUUAUUUUGAUCUCAUGACUACUUACGAAAAGGGAAAAUCGGGCACCUUUGCUAUUAUGAUCGUUCGGCGUAAAGAGUAGCUUCAGCAGAGCAGGGAGGGCACAUUACGUCCCCCUCCCCACAACAACCACUUUUUCUAAAAAGUCCAAGAUCUAAGACUUGCAUAUCCUUCGCUUCGCGUAAACAUUAUUUUGUAACUGAUUUGGUAAAAGUACCUGCUUUACCAAGAAGAACACACGAUAAAAUAACAACAAACGGAUACCACUCUAUAUUUCCUAUUUCAUAAUUCACUUUAGAGUAUUUGUAUUAGCUGCGUGUUUGUUUAAGACCAAAUUAGCCAUUAUAGCUUCACAUAUUUUGGACUGUUUAAUGCAGAUUUUGUGAUAGAUGCAGUUUUUGGACACUAAUCCAAAAACAUCUUUUUACCAUACAUUUUGAAUUAGUUUCACAAUAAAUGAUGUCUUUUUUCCUCAAAAUAUUUAAAUGAGUUUAUAAUCCCACAUAUUUAAAUGAACAACAGUUGGAAGUAAGUCAAAACCAUUUGGAUAAAAAUGAUUUUGACAUUUUUGUGUCCUUGUUUAUUGUAUUCUGUUUUUCCAUAAUCAUGUAAAAACGACUUAAAGUCCCACAUGGANAUAUUCUGUAUAUNAGUAAAGAGCAUUAGCUAUAAAAGAAAUACUUGUGGCAUUGAGAAACAUACUUACCUGGAUGGGGUCAAUGAGUGAUCANAAAGGCUCAUGGNCUAGAACUGUGACCUUCAUUGCACANNGAAGGGNUGCUGUUCUAAGGUCUGNCCUAGUGGCAGAGCCUACAUCAUAAUUUGUGGCAGAGAGGGCUUGCGUUCGCGCAGCCCUUAUUA